UGGGCCGAGCUGGAUUUGAACCAGCGUAGGUAUAUUGCCAACGAAUUUACAGUCCGUCCCCAUUAACCGCUCGGGCAUCGACCC
rnacentral:tRNA from 1 species